UAUAGAGUUAAAUCUAUAUUGUGCAGUAAUUGCAACACUUGAUAUAGCUGUUAGGAAUAAUGAAUCAUGACAAAGAUGCACCAGGCAGUGGAUGAAAAGAGUGAAUAACAAACAACCUUGUGACAACAUGUGUACAUGAAUUAUGGCUGCUCUGUUUCAGGAGAACAGAAAGAAUAUGACUGGUGUGGGAACCAUCAAGAAAGGUUUUAACAGUAUGAAGAGAAAUUGUCCUAACUGUUCCUUAGAAGAGGAACAAGAAAGCAUUUGUAUUGUAGGUUUGUGGUGUGCCUGUCUGUGACACUCAUGUGCAGUCUUUUGAGGCAUCCUGGCUUUAGAAAGGAAAUUUAAGGAAUGCUCUGUUUGGAAGAAUCUCAUGUUGUGGUGUGUUCCUGCAACUUGGAUAUCUUUCACAGGAGUGCUUAUGAGACCUGGGCAUAUGUGUGCUGCUGUGAACAGAGUGCUACCAUGUGGGAGACUGAUCCUUCAUUGAGGACUUACAGCUCUCUUAGCUACCAAAAUAAAAACCCAAACCAAAAUAAGAAUAAAAAGAAAGAAAAGUGUGCAUGUGGGAAUAGUUCCAGUCUCCAGAAUAAACUUACAAUGAAGGAUGGUUUCUUUACCAUCCCCUGGCUGUGGUGUUCUGCAAGUUUCUUGCCUUAAAUAUCUUUUAUGAUUUAUCAAGAAGAAAAACAAACAUG